GCGUCUCAUCAGUCGCUUUAAAUCUUUUUCUUCUUACUAAUGUCUUGUCUCGCCACUCUCAUUCCUAUUUCAUGAUCAUUAUUGUAUCUUGAA